CUGUCAAUGAUUUGAGAGACAUUAAAUUGAUCAUCAUGAGAAAUAAUACUUACGACAUGGUAAUCAUUGUAUGUCUUCCAGUAAUAUGCAAGUACAACAAAAUUAAUUCUUCCAAAUUCGCUUAGCUCGUGUAAAAGUGAAUAGAAAAAGAAAAAGAAAAUCUUAGUGGCAAGAUCAAGAAUCCAAGGAGAGUUUUUCAAGCUCUCUGAUGCCAUGAUUAGAAGCUUUCUUCAUUUCAAGAGCUCUCUUGUAAGGAGGGGCAAUUGGGGGUUGAACAGGAUCCAGGCUCUGAUAGGUGCCCUCACCAACUUUCGGUAGUGGAUAUGAUCGAUCGGAGUCAUAUCCACUAAGGUCCCCACAUGCUAGAAAUGGGAUAUAAACCUUAUUCGGUCCUUCUAACCAUCCACUGCUGCAAUCUAGAUCAUCCAUGCCUGAGGGGCUUCCCGCCUUUUCUAGGAGGCGAUGUAAGUCUUUUGGAUUAAAUCCCUGAGGAGGGGAAUAAUUCUCACAAACUGCAAAUGCCUCUAUGCUGGAAUUGCGGCUACUUCUUGGUUUUGCAAAAGUCACAACGGGGAAAAAUAAUUUGAGCUGGCAUUAAAGAAGACUUGUAUCUUUUCCACGAAAUAUCUUCGCAAUAAAUUUUCCACCUUCUCUAAGUACAUGUGUGACAAUAGUCAAACCCGCUAGUAUGAGUUGAGACUGAACAAACUCAUCCAUAUCAUGAAGACCAGUGACAUCAGGUGCACCAUCACAUACAACCAGGUCAGCUUUGCAGCCAUCAAAAUGUCUAAUGACCACUUCAGCUGUUUGGGCAUUGGUGAUGUCUCCCUGUACUUGGAUAACACCUUCAAUUGGAGCCAUGGGUUGCAAGUCAAUAGCCACAAUAAGAGGAAGAUCAUCAUCCCUUGAAUCUUGUGAAAGCUUUGCCGGCAUAUAUAAUUUACGGCUCAAAACCUGACUCCAACUACCUGGUGCAGCACAUAAAUCUACAACACGCUUCACCCCUUCAAAUAUGUUGAAUUCCUCAUCUAUCUGAAGAAGCUUAAAGGCACUUCGAGCACGCCAACCUUCUUCUUUUGCUUUUCGGUAGUAGAUAUCCCUCUUAUCCCUUGAUGCUUUUCCCAUGUUUUAUUUAUUCACUACUUCUGCAAAUAAGUUAUAGCAGGACUGGUUUGUUAGCUCCAGAAUCAAAAGAUGCAUAUGGUUCAGGGUGAAAGUAAGUAGCACAUCUUCCUUUGUACGAACAACAAUGAUGUCAAUGUAAAGAAGAACCUACGAAAAGCAUGAUGUUAUAGAUCACAUAAACAAAUAAAAUGGCUACAUGUUACAGAAAUUGAAUUGGCCUUCGAGUUGGCCACAAAAUUUUUUACAUCUGGCACCGGAUCACUGAGAGUAACAAAAUGCAAGAAGGCAUAAACACUUUCUUCAAAGUGAAGUGCAUUGACGAACAGCUAAUAACUACACUAUACUGGCAAAAGGGAGAGCAUAAAAGGGAGAGCAUA
rnacentral:misc_RNA from 1 species